rnacentral:tRNA from 2 species
AGCGGGGUAGGGUAGCCAGGACAUCCCGUCGGGCUCAUAACCCGAAGAUCGAUGGUUCAAAUCCAUCCCCCGCUA